UACAGGGGGUGCAAACGUUGCUCGGAAUCAUUGGGCGUAAAGCGCACGUAGGCGGUUCGUUAUGUCGGAUGUGAAAGCCCUUGGCUUAACCGAGGAAGUGCAUCCGAAACUGGCGAGCUAGAGUACUAAAGAGGAUCGCGGAAUUCCCGGUGUAGAGGUGAAAUUCGUAGAUAUCGGGAGGAACACCGGUGGCGAAGGCGGCGAUCUGGGUAGAUACUGACACUGAGGCGCGACAGCGUGGGGAGCAAACAGG
rnacentral:rRNA from 1 species